rnacentral:rRNA from 1 species
AGUGAACGCUGGCGGUAGGCCUAACACAUGCAAGUCGAACGGCAGCACAGUAAGCGUUUGCUUUUACGGUUGGCGACUGGCGGAUGAGUGAGGCAUACAUCGCCAUCUACUUUUUCGUGGGGGAUAACGUAGAGAAACUUACGCUAAUACCUCAUAUGAUCUACCGCUUAAAUCAGUGGAUCUUCGCACCUUGCGCGACUGAUUGAGCUGGUGUCGGAUUAGCUAGUUGGCGUGGUAAAGGCACACCAAGGCGACGAUCCGUAGCUGAUCUGAGAGGAUGAUCGGCCACACUGGAACUGAGACACGGUCCAGACUCCUACGGGAGGCAGCAGUAGGGAAUAUUGCGCAAUGGGCGCAAGCCUGAUGGAGCCAUGCCGCGUGAGUGAAGAAGGCCUUCGGAUUGUAAAGCCCUGUUAUUAGGGAAGAACAAAUGUGGAAGAAAACGCGGAUGUCUUGACGGUACCUGAUGAGAAAGCACCGGCUAACUACGUG